AAUAAUAAGGAAUUAUAUAGUUAUAUAUAUCUUUAUUGGAAUGUGAUAACUUUCUGGAUUUAUCUUUUUAUCAAACUUAGGAAUAAGCAAUUUGAUUAGGGUGGAAAGGGUCUAUAAAAUUUAUCGAAGACCUAUUUAAGGAGGGGUUAUUAAUUAAAAAGGGAGAUGAGUUGCCCUAGCCUUGUCUCGCUGCAAUAUAUAGAGCCCUUUCCCUCACGACUUUUCACUAAACACCACGCCUACGGAGCCGACGCCAUGCUCACCUCGACCCGGCGCCGCCUCUCUCUCGUGCAGUCCCGUCGGUAAAGCACCUUCCUCUGCCACCCUUCGCCACAGACACCUCGUGCGCCCCUUGCAGCUGCGACCAUGUGAGCAUUGGGCUAGGGUUGGGAGAUUGCUAGAGAUGGAGAUGUCGCUGACACCGCGUCGCCCAUGUCCAGUGUCCAACCGAGCAGAGGGACUAGGGUUAGUGGUUUGCGAUUCUACCGCCACCGCCGACAACAACCUCAAACCCUGGGACUCUAUUCCCUCUGCCAGCCACGGUGAUCUGCUGCCGAAAAAGGAGAAGUAGGAUUUGAGCGCGAGAGAGAGCAUCGGAUUUGAAGACUACUAGAAUGUUCUCCAUUAGAGGUUAGCAAGUAGGAAAUAUCCAUUUAUAUUUCAGGUUAGCAGGUAGGAAAUAAAGUCAUGUCGCUCGGAGGUCUCGAUUCUUGAUCCCACAUCGUGCGAGAUGUCCUUGGUUUAUUUUUGGUUGUCAUAGCUUUUUGAACUUUUGGUAUUCGAAAUUUGCUUUGAAAUUUGUUAUGAAAACAUGUUUUGUUUUGACUUUCUUAGUCACUCUACUUGGUUGGUUUGUAAAUAAAGUAUGUUAGUUGUU